rnacentral:tRNA from 2 species
GGCGGGGUAGCUCAGUUGGUUAGAGCAGCGGAAUCAUAAUCCGCGUGUCGGGGGUUCGAGUCCCUCUCCCGCUACCA